rnacentral:rRNA from 1 species
GACGAACGCUGGCGGCGUGCCUAAUACAUGCAAGUCGAACGCGCAGCGAAAGGUGCUUGCACCUUUCAAGCGAGUGGCGAACGGGUGAGUAACACGUGGAUAACCUGCCUCAAGGCUGGGGAUAACAUUUGGAAGCAGAUGCUAAUACCGAAUAAAGCUUAGUAUCGCAUGAUACAAAGUUAAAAGGCGCUACGGCGUCACCUGGAUAUGGAUCCGCGGUGCAUGAGUUAGUUGGUGGGGUAAAGGCUUACCAAGAUGAUGAUGCAUAGCCGAGUUGAGAUACUGAACGGCCACAUUGGGACUGAGACACGGCCCAAACUCCUACGGGAGGCUGCAGUAGGGAAUCUUCCACAAUGGGCGCAAGCCUGAUGGAGCAACGCCGCGUGUGUGAUGAAGGCUUUCGGGUCGUAAAGCACUGUUGUAUGGGAAGAAAUGCUAAAAUAGGGAAUGAUUUUAGUUUGACGGUACCAUACCAGAAAGGGACGGCUAAAUACGUGCCAGCAGCCGCGGUAA